rnacentral:lncRNA from 1 species
CUGCUCCUGCACGACCUUCUGCCUUUGACACCGCGUCACCUGGUGGUGUCCCUCCCCCAGGAGCUGCUCUCACUGGUGGCAUCACUUCAGGACCCUAACAACAUGAAACCUCCACCAAGGAGCUGAGCACUGGCAGUGUCUCUGAGUGACCACAAGAGAGCAGCUGAGAGAGUUUCUGGAAAAGAACAGCCUUGGUGAUCUUGCAGUAGGGCAGAAGAAGAAAAAGGUUAAAAAUAGCAGUCACCCUGGUACAGCCACUGCUGGUGAUUGUCAUGCAGCCGAGGAACCAAGGAAGCCAGUGAGAACAACCACUCAUCUUCAGGUUCUCCAAAAGCCCCCAAAGGUGUGUUAGAGGAGCUUGGGCCCCCCAAAUUAGGGUAAGGUGGUUUGAGGCCUC